AAAACAAAACAUCUCUCAAGGGCUGGCUGGGUGGCUCAGCUGAGUGUCCAACUCUUGACUUUGGCUCAGGUCAUGAUCUCAGGAUUGUAGGAUCAAGCCCUCUGCCAGGCUCUGCGCUCUGCUGGGAGUCUGUUCUCUCUCCCCAUCUGUCCUUCCCACUCUACCCUCCCUCCCCUCAUUCUCAAAUCAAUCAAUCAAUCUAUUUUUUUAAAAUCUCUCCAGAACCAGGACACACAGGAAGACAAUUGUGCCAAGAAAAUAUUUGGAAUUAGACGGUCUAAUUCUGGCCACUUACCAAGAAUGUUCUCAAUGGAAUGGAUAAAUAGCUACAUGAUGAGGAUUAAGAGAUGCAUCAGAAUCGCCCUUCAAAAGCCAGAGCUCUCCUUUUGCCUCCAAGGAAAUAGGACCUUACUUCCCAGGUACCUAGAAGCCGAGGAUGGGAGGAAGUGAGUGAGCACGUGCAUGGGGGCCUUCCUGAGUAGGAUUCUUGAGGUGAGGUGAUAAGAACAUCCCUUUUCUGCAAUGAUGACCCCAUGGACCCUGGUCCAAACCCAGAUUGAGGCUGAGGCUUGGAGAUACCUGAAGUCCUCUUCACUCGCAUGCCUGGCAUUGGAUCUGGACCUGGGAUAGCUGGAAAAUCUGGGGUAGACCAGGCCUCUCUCUCAAUGUGGGAAAACAUCUUGGGAUCCCUGAAGCAUAGUCAUAGUCUCAAGAAUUAUAUUUCUUCAGUUUCCUGAACUCACACAUGGCAGUCUGACCCUCUUUCGUCAAUGAAAUGUGAAGACAAUACGUGACACUUCAGGCAUCUCUGUAAGAACCCAUCCAUCCUUCAUCGUACUCUCUGUUCUCUCUGCUGGGAUGCCCAUCAGUAUUCCAGAAACCUGAAGUCUCAUCAGGCUGAGUGUGGCGUGAAAAUGACA